rnacentral:rRNA from 1 species
CCUACGGGUGGCAGCAGUGAGGAAUAUUGGUCAAUGGGCGUAAGCCUGAACCAGCCAAGUCGCGUGAGGGAUGAAGGUUCUAUGGAUCGUAAACCUCUUUUAUACGGGAAUAAAGUGUGGGACGUGUCCUGUUUUGUAUGUACCUUAUGAAUAAGGAUCGGCUAACUCCGUGCCAGCAGCCGCGGUAAGACGGUGGAUCCGAGCGUUGUCCGUAUUUAUUGGGUUUAAAGGGUGCGUAGGCGGCCUUGUAAGUCAGCGGUGAAAGUCUGUGGCUCAACCAUAGAAUUGCCAUUGAAACUGGGAGGCUUGAGUAUGUUUGAGGCAGGCGGAAUGCGGGGUGUAGCGGUGAAAUGCUUAGAUAUAACGAAGAACCCCGAUUGCGAAGGCAGCCUGCCAAGCCAUGACUGACGCUGAUGCACGAAAGCGUGGGGAUCAAACAGGAUUAGAUACCCCAGUAGUC